CCUAAACAUUUCAAUAAUACUUUUUCAGCUAUUCUCUUAUAGAGUUGUCCGUUUAAUAAACAAUAGCUGAUUGCUUUUCUUCGAAUAUUAUAAUCGACUCGCUUUUUAGGGUCUUCUAAAUAUUCAAUUAUAGACUUUCUCCAGUCUUCUUUAACCACUAUGGGAGUAAUAAUCGGCUCUCGUAUAUGAACCGAUGGUAAUAAUCUUCGUUCUAUUUUCACUAGAUCCUGUUUCGGCUCUUUAUACCCUGAAGCCGAUUGGGCCAAUUCAUUAGCCUGUUCAUUUUCUUCUCUGUUCAUAUGUUCAAACUCGUCCUCCCCGAAACUGCAAAGUAAUUCUAACAUUUUUCUCAAAUAAUUUUGCAAGUUUCGGUUUUCACAUCGGUAUUCCCCAUUUACUUGUUUAAUCACUAAUUGUGAAU
rnacentral:lncRNA from 1 species